AGUGAACGCUGGCGGUAGGCCUAACACAUGCAAGUCGAACGGCAGCACAGUAAGAGCUUGCUCUUACGGGUGGCGAGUGGCGGACGGGUGAUGAAUACAUCGGAAUCUACUUUUUCGUGGGGGCUAACGUAGGUAAACUUACGCUAAUACCGCAUACGACCUACCGGUGAAAGCAGGGGAUCUUCGGACCUUGCGCGAUUGAAUGAGCCGAUGUCGGAUUAGAUAGUUGGCGGGGUAAAGGCCCACCAAGGCGACGAUCCGUAGCUGGUCUGAGAGGAUGAUCAGCCACACGGGAACUGAGACACGGUCCAGACUACUAAGGGAGGCAGCAGUGGGGAAUAUUGGACAAAGGGCGCAAGCCUGAUCCAGCCAUACCGCGUGGGUGAAGAAGGCCUUCGGGUUGUAAAGCCCUUUUGUUGGGAAAGAAAAGCAGCAGGUUAAUACCCCGCUGUUCUGACGGUACCCAAAGAAUAAGCACCGGCUAACUUCGUG
rnacentral:rRNA from 1 species